UACGUAGGGGGCUAGCGUUGUCCGGAAUCAUUGGGCGUAAAGAGCGUGUAGGCGGCUCGGUAAGUCCGCUGUGAAAGUCCAGGGCUCAACCCUGGAAUGCCAGUGGAAACUGUCGAGCUAGAGUCCGGAAGAGGCGAGUGGAAUUCCUGGUGUAGCGGUGAAAUGCGCAGAUAGUCAGGAGGAACACCAAUGGCGAAGGCAGCUCGCUGGGACGGUACUGACGCUGGAGACGCGAAAGCGUGGGGAGCAAACAGGAU
rnacentral:rRNA from 1 species